rnacentral:lncRNA from 1 species
AGAACCGAUGAUUUAAUAUUCCGUGUAUAAGCUAAACUCUAUAUACUAAAUUAUCUACUAUAUAAGCAAAUGACAUAGACUAUUAUAUGAUCUAUUUAAAAUUUUAUUAAAACUGAAUAAAUAAUUAUUUCAUAAUAAAUACUAUAGCUAAACCAAACCCAUGAUUAAUAAUAUAUAUCCUAACAACAUACCACUGCCGGAUAGGCUGACAUUUAUAUAUUUGGGAUCUU